AGGAAUUGGCGAAGCUUGGAAAUGUAAGUUUAGUUAUGGUGACGGAUGAAUGCGUGUAUGGUGUGUGUUUUGAUGAUAUGAUGGAAAGGGUUGGGCUGAAGAUGAAUGUGAGACCGAAUUGAUGGUGUUUCCUUUUUUUUUUUGUGUUUUCUGGUGGAAAUCAAGUUUAAUGAUUCCAGUUCAUUGUUGAUGAUUGGAGGUAGGCAGAGAUGUGAGGGACAUAUCGUUAUGGUCUAUGGCCGCCAUUUGACUAUUGGUUGAGUAUACGAACUCUCUUGGAGGGGAGAAAUAGGACAGUAGAAGUGGAUGUGGGGAAGAUGAUGAUGAUGUCCGGUGGUCGUUGAGAAUGAAGAGUAAGGAAUUCAUACAUAGGCAGAGCAAGGGUAUGGCAAGCACAAAACAUAGUAGCCAGCAUAGUCCAUAAUACAAAAACUUAUGACAUCAUGAAAGAGCGAAUGAGUGAGGGGGUUACCUACCUUGAAGCUCUGCUAUUGCUUGGCUCUCUUGUUGCAAUAGUGAAGUUGAUGCAGCUAAUGUGAAUCUCCAGAAAACCUCACCCCCUCCUUUGCUCUGGCUGACCUUGUUUUUGCUUGUGAUUGAAUGAUCCUGUAGUCGAUGAUGAUCCUCUUGUU
rnacentral:lncRNA from 1 species